GACGAACGCUGGCGGCGUGCCUAAUACAUGCAAGUCGAACGAGAGCGACCGGUGCUUGCACGGGUCAAUCUAGGGGAAAACGGGUGAGUAACACGGGGGUAACCUGCCCAACAGAGGGGGAUAACAGCCGGAAACGGAUGCUAACACCGCAGAGGUCUUCGAACCACAUGGUUGGAGGAAGAAAUUAGGCGGAGGGUUCAGCUGGUGGCUGGACCGGCGGUGCAUUAGCUAGUUGGUGAGGAAACGGUUCACCAAGGCCGUGAUGCAUAGCCGACCUGAGGGGGUGAUCGGCCACCUUGGGACUGAGACACGGCCCAUACUCCUGCGGGAGGCCGCAGUCGGGAAUCUUCCGCAAUGGACGCAAGUCUGACGGAGCAACGCCGCGUGAGUUACGAAGGUUUUGCGAUCGUAAAACUCUGUUGUUAGUGAAGAACAAGUUCUAGAGUAACUGUUAGCGCCUUGACGGUAUCUAGCCAGAAAGCCCCGGCUAACUACGUG
rnacentral:rRNA from 1 species